CCUAUGUCAGAUGUUUGCAUUAUUUUCAUAUUUGGACAUCUUUGCUUGUCAUACAGUGUUUUACAUCGACAUGUACUUUGAUUGGUUCCAUCAGAUCAGGCUGCUUUGGAAAGUUCCAGUUUCACUGUCAAGACAUUAUUAUUGAAAUUAGGAAAACAAAACUUCAUCCUGAUCCUAUAGACUCCUGAUCUAGAGGAUGACUUCCAUUCUGAGUCUUCACAAAGAUCCAAAUCUUCGUCUUUUCCUAAAUCCAUAAAUCUGACUGUAGAAAGUUUCAUUACGCUUAAACCCUUUAUCGGGCAAGUGACUGUUUUUGGUAAUUUCCGCACAUGUUAGUUAUCACGCCCAUCCCCCGUCUCAGUGAGUUCAAGAAUCAUGUGAUUUUUACCCAGCCAAUCAGCAAAGAUCAUCCUACAUUAAAGGUUACUCAAUUGUGCAACUUGACCCAUCAGCAGAGAGCAGGGUCACAUCAAAUUUCCCUUUUUCUCCAAAGUCAGAAAAAUUCUCUUUUGCAGAUCGGUUCACUGGACAUUUUCGAAGGAAUCGUCAAAACUAACCAUGCUUCCAUCAAUCUUUUAUGGCAAGAUGGAGGGAGACUGCUGUUGUGCCAGUCCACCCUGACAUUAGUGAUGAUGAUGAAGAUCAAGAUGAUGAUGUGUCAGACCCUGACUUCAUCCGACCCACCCACAGCCAGGACAUUCCCAAACCCUCACACACAGUUGUGUGAGGGUCUAUUCAACACUUUUGUUAUUAGCACUUUUUGUUUUUAGCACGUUUAUGUUCUAAAAGUGAUGUUCAAAUGUUCAAAUACAUAAUAUGUGUUUUUCUUAUAUUUAUAGAUAUAUGUAUACUUAUUGGAAUUUGUUUUCCCACUCACGGGCAAGUAACCAAAUAUGGUAACUUCAUUUGCAUUGAUUUUGUACAUGAAAAUAAAAAAAAUUGAAAAAUGUCACCAAUGA